UACGGAGGGCGCAAGCGGUGUUCGGAAUCACUGGGCGUAAAGCGCGUGUAGGCGGCCGGGCAAGUCGGAUGUGAAAUCCCGAGGCUCAACCUCGGAACUGCACUCGAAACUGCUCGGCUCGAGUCCCGGAGAGGAUGGCGGAAUUCCCGGUGUAGGGGUGAAAUCCGUAGAGAUCGGGAGGAACACCAGUGGCGAAGGCGGCCAUCUGGACGGUGACUGACGCUGAGACGCGAAAGAGUGGGGAGCAAACAGG
rnacentral:rRNA from 1 species